rnacentral:lncRNA from 1 species
CGAUUUCUUACAGUACAUGGCAACAUAGAUGGUGCAUUAAGCUUCGGAAACAGAAAUUCUCAACAAUAUUCACGAAGAACCAAACACACGUAUAUCAUGAUCUAUGCUAUAAGUGCUUCUGUUCUCAGUACUGCAAUAUCAAAUGUACAAGAACAGAAACAUACAGUACCAAGAUUAUUUAUGCGGUUUGCUAUCUCCUAUAUGGCGCUCGGAUAAAUUAGUUUUCACAAGCUGUGCUAGAUACAUGGUACGCAUUUUCUCACCAUGUUUCUCUAUUCUUUCUGCAUUUUGUUUAGAGGACUAUUUUCAGCCAAGGUCAGAAAAGAAAUAGGUCAUACCAUUAAAUGGCAUCAUGUCCACUUUCUGGUACUCUGAACAUUCCUACGUUCAGCCUGAUGUACUGAAUUCCGUAGGCUUCGGUUGAUCUAGAGAUACCCCUUUUCUUUGCAGCAUUGGAUGGCUCCGUCAAACAUGUCCUCGAUCCUGUACUUAUACUCAAAACCGGCGUCCAACAGUUUCCUUGACGAUAGGCGGAAAAACCUGGGGCCUUUCAAUUCCUUCAAGGACCUACAAAGAUUUGAAAAGCUUUGCUUUCAGUCCAAGAACAGCAAUUAUCUGUUACAUCAUGAAAUGGGAUAUAUCAGGACUUACUCUGGAGAGGGUAUCUGAAACUCCGGGUAUCUUUCCGAGAGAAACUCGGACAUCUCCUUGAUGGUCAUCGUGGCCGAGGUACAAAUGUACCGCCCCUUGGUGUCGGGGUGCUCGAAGAGGAAGAUGUGUGCUCUCGCCAAGUCAUCUACAUGCACCAAAGCUACUUCGAGAAGAAGAGAGUACUCAUUCUCGUUCCCUGUUAAUUUGGAACGCAGUCAAUCUAAGAUUUAAGAUUCUUUGUAUCAUCGAAAUGAAUAUAAACAUAUAGACGGACAGAUUAUAGUCUUGUCUUCCUUUGUCAUAUACUUGACAUUGAGCAGAGAAACGUUGUCAAAUUAUGGAAUUCUGGUAUCGUUCUGGUGACCAAAACAAUCAAAUUGAUCAUGAAUUUGACUGCAGUACCAAAAAUGUAUCACGAAAAGUUAUUGUAAAAUCAAUAGAUUAUGGAGAUCAAUAUUAUAUGAACUAUAGUUUCUCUGUAGAUUUCACGUGAUCAACGGUUCGGAUAGACUUGACUGACCCUAUUUAUAUUGAUCAUAUAAUAUUUUCUCGUGUAUCACAUUACCUAAUACCAAAGCCAGCAAAGUUCUGACGGAUCCAGCGAACCUGGGGCAAAUGAAAGGCCCGUGGACAAACGGGGGAGCCACCGUCACCACUUCCAGUCCGUGCUGCUCUCCGAACUCAAGAACCGCCUUCUCAGUCAAUGUCUUUGAGAUUGCGUAGGAAGCUCCAAGCCUCGUCAUUUCUCGGAUGGACUCAACAUCGCUCCAGGAGUCCUCAUCCAAUAUAUCGGCCCCAGAGUUGUUAAAUGGAAUUGCAGCCGCACUCGAAGUGUACACGACACGCUUCACCGUCUUGGAGUUCAGGCAGGCCCUCAGGAUGCCUAACGCUCCAUCGAUGGAUCGUUUGGUUACGACUGGCUCUGGCUCUCUGUCCUCGAAGUCCAGCGGGGUGGCAACGUGGAAGACUCCGACACAGCCCUUGAUGGCUGGGCUGAAACUCUCGGGGUCACUGAGGUCAGCGGUGAGGAUUUGAAGCCUUUCUGAUGCUCCUGGUAGAUUUUUCAAGAAGCUCGUGUCCCUUUUGCCAUCUGACAGGAACAAAUCGGUCAAUCGCUUUGCGAAUAAAAGCUCAAACAUCGAAUGGGAAACUGAUGUGUGAGGUUAACUGGAGAUAGCAGCCCAAAAUAAAUUAACCAACAUGACUCAUUCAGGAAACACUCCGAAUUACAGCAUUAAACUUAGAAACGAGAACUGCAAGAAAAGCUGAUUCAAGAGAGAAUGAGCGAAUUCAUAUGUAGAACAAGAGCAAGAGAUCAUCAUUAACCGAUUCAGCUGCCCCUAAUUCAAGACAUCCUUAGUUCAUCUUAUGCUUUCUCAUGCUUGAAAAGGCGGCAAAAAAGGGUUGCUUUUCUUAUGGUUCCAUGCCCAAUGACAAUUCCGAUCAGAAUCGAACCUCAAACGCCCAAAUCCGACAAAAUACAUAUAAAUUUCUCCAUCUGUCGACACCCCAACUUUCUGCAUAAACAUUUCACAUACACAGACCGUUCGAAACACAUGAGCAAACACUUAAUCUAUACGAUCAAACUUCAAUCAAGAAAGCUAACCUUAGUAUUGCCAAUAAAUUUGCAGACACAGACAGAUCAGAUCACGUUGGACCGUCGUGUGGACAUAUACAGUACAAAACAUCAAUCUGAGACUAUACACUUGAUCAGAACUCAUGGCAAGAACGAAUCUCCAUGUUCAAGCAGGAAGAAAGAAGAAGGGAGACUUACCCGGGUCGGGUCUGACGGUGGUCCGGACGGAGUAACCAUGUUCAAGGAGCCUCAUGAUGAGCCAUGAAGCUAUGAAGCCAGUACCGCCUGUCACGCACACCGUGCCUCUGUUGCCCUCCAUGGCUUGGAGAAGUGAGACGCUUCAAUUUUCGGGAAGCAUCAAACUUUUUUGAGUGACCUCGAUGUUUUGGUCAGCAGAGUGGGCGCGCUUCUCCACUUAAACGCGGAUGCAAAGCCACUUACUUCACUUUGAUUUUCAUUUUCAAAAGGGGCAAAAAAAAAUGAGUGGUGACAGGUGCAUCUUCCCCGCUGAAAGUCGUCUGUCGGUUUGAACCAUAAGCACUCGAUCUACUUUUUUCAAUCAUCCGUCGUAUUUCAAAUGUAAGUCUCGAUUCACACACAAGAGAGGAUGUUAAAUAAUAUGGUAUAUGUAUAAUGUUGGCAACCAAUUGCCAAACUCCCGUGGAAAUAAAUAGCCAUUGCGACACUCCUCUGCUUCCAAUUGCCAUUGCGACAUUCCUCUGCAAAUAAAUAGCCAGGUAUUUCCAUACAACGGAUAAACAGGUAAAGGGUGAAUGAGAUCGCCUUGCUUUAAUCCCUACACGGCGAGAAGGGAUAGAGCAUCCCACCGUUCAUAAAUGAUAGUGGUAGAAGCAGUAGUGAUGCAAAUCCACCUGUAAUUCAAGAUCGUUCAAGAUCGAUUUUAACAGCAGAGGAACCGGUCCUUCACUUCCGUAUGUUGCAUCAUAGAACAUCAUCAUGCGUUCCCCUCCCGCGGGGAUGAAGCUAGCCCAGCAAGGACUCUAAUGAGAUCAUCAAGAAAAAGGCCUUAAGCGCUCGAUAAAUGAGCAAAGCGUUCCUAAUUUUUCCAGUUCAUCCCUUUUAUGGGGGCAAAACAUAAAUUUUAUAUUUUGGAUCCUCUUUUCUUUUUUCUUUUUUCUUUUUUCUGUGUAGCAUGGCCCAGGGUGGCAUGUAACAAAUGAAAUGAACUAAGUUUUCAUGGAUUGAAGUUCAGUGAGGUCAAACAAAAGAAUUUUUGGGAGUCAUAUUAGCUACUUAACUCUCUUUUAGCAUGACCUAAGAUUAUAAACAUCUCUAUUAAAUUUGCGCAAUUUGUGUAGUCUGAAAUAAACAAGGAGAAAAAUUCUUCUCGCCCCAUUUUUUUGUCUAUCCUCUAACCGAUUAUUGCAGCUUACCCAUUGCCCCAUGCUUCCUCCACGACCCCCCAAGACCAUCUCGACAGCUACCGUUUCCGAUAGCUUCCUCCGCCUCGAUAAAAUAUUCGAUGGUUCCAUAGCGUUUACAUCAACUGCUGGUCAUGUUGCGAGUAUUUUUUACUCACGUCCGCUUAUAAAUUGACUCGUGUUUGUUGAUGUGGAUGGGAAAAGACAAUUAAAAUAUGUUUCUACUUCCACCGACCAUGAAAGUCGGACGAGCCGCCUCGCGUUUGUUUUUUCUUUUCGCCUUUUGAGGUCAUGGAUGAGCAAGGCAUGUGGUCAUGAUUGGGAGCGUCACCGGCCAGCCAUGAUAGCAGCAACAUCAAUAUGGACGAGCAAGGCUAGAGAGUAAUGUCCAUGCUCGACCAUUUUGUUUGGCCAGAUCCGGUCAGCUCUGUCAUCCCGGACCUUGGACAAGUCGCCGUCGCCAAGGUCGCAGAUCCGGACCAUCAACAAGUUCCAUCCUUCUACCUUGGUUGGGAAGACGGAACCAAGGGGCGAGUUCCUCCUUCUCCAUGGCGAUGGAGCUCUUAAUGGGCCUUCGAGAUCACUAGCCCUUCGAGUUGGAUGGCACCAUCCCGUCGCACCAUCUGCGCCCCUUAGCGGGCGUCGCUCGUGAUCAGCCUAAGCCACUCGCCCCGCCGUGUUGCUUGUCCAGAUAUGGCUUCGCCCAUGGCCACAAACCUUGCUCAGCAUAGCUCACGAGGCGGCUCAUCCACAGACUGCAGCUCGUCCAUGGCUACGAACCCUUGAUGACGAACUCGGAAUUCCAGCGGCCGUGAUCAGUAAACAAGCGCAAGCCUGGAUGGCCGGACAGCGCUCUGUGGAUGGAGGAGGAAGAGAGGAGUCAACGUCCACAUGUCAACCUAAAAUCGGACCCGUCAGCAGCUAUUGUGGCGCUACGAAAUCACUUCUUAGUUUCUCCACCUUUGUCCAACAUGCGAUAGAUCUCUCUCUCUCUCUCUCUCUCUCUCUCUCUCUCUCUCUCUCUCUCUCUCUCUCUCUCUCUCUCUCUCUCUCUCUCUCUCUCUCUCUCUCUCUCUCUCUUCAUGCAUGCGCGGGCCAGAGUGCACAGAGGCUUGAUUACCAUUGACAGUCCUUGUCCAUGAUCACGGCUCCUUCAAAUCUCCGCCUCCUUCAAAUCUCCGCAUCAGGCAGGCUUGGAGGGCGACCAAAAUUUACAUAGACGCCUCCACGGCAAGAGGGUUCUCGUAGGGUGAUCGGUUUCCGGUAAGGUUUGAUUUCCUAAAACAGAACCGAACCAGGGACCGGACUGAGAAUCGGACCACAUCAUCCGAUUCAAUAGAAUCAAUUACUUAUUUUUUCCUAUUACUUAGAAUUGGAUCAAGAUAAUAUUUAGUUUACAUUUUAUUUAUUUUUUAAGAUAAUAUAAUAAAAAAGUAUAUUUAGUUAGUCAUGUUCGUUUGAUCCAGUUUUCCCUUGGAAUUAGAAACCAAACCGCCACUCCUAGAAAUUGAACCAAAUCAGUCAAUCUAGAUGAUUCCCAAUUAGGGCGGUCCAUUUUGCACACCUCUAUCUCACACCGUCGAGAUCUAGAUGAGAGCAAUGUCCAUUUGUCUUGUUGGCAAAAUCUAAUGCCUCCAUCCCUUGGACGAGUGACAAUGCGCACAGAGAGAGAGAGAGAGAGAGAGAGAGAGAGAGAGAGAGAGAGAGAGAGAGAGACUGUUGCGUGGAGAGGGAGAGAAGGGCAUCGACAGUUGCUCAAAGAAGAGGGGAGGGAGAAAGGCAAAGUCAGCUAAAGUUUGGCGAAACCAGCGGCGAAAUAAUACUGUUAAUCCAUCAAUUUUGACCAAGUUAUCGCUUUUAAUUUGUUUAUUAUGAUUCUUCAAUUACUUUUCAUGUUCAAUAUAAUUUCUUAAACUUUUGAAUUUUUAAUCUAAUUUCUCAACUUCCUUAUAAAGUCAAAUCAAUCAUUUAGUACGAUUCAGAAGUUUUUGUAAGCGAGUUUUUUUUAAUAUCUUUUCAUUUCAGUAGUUUUUCUCCAAAAAAAAUUAAUAAUAUUACAUUACUUUGUGCCUUUUUGGUUUUUAUGAAUAUCACGAUAACUCAAUCAAAAUCUUUAUAAUUGUGAAGUGUAGCUAAUAAUCUCUAAAAUAGUAAAAUUAGAAUCCCAUUUGAAGCUGUGUUACAUUGGUAUUCCUAUUAUGUUAUUUAUAUAUGCUUUCAUAUUGACAUCUAUAAAUGAAAUUGAUUUAUCUGUAGAUAUAUGUAUUUGUAUUAAUCUAAAUCGUGUUCUUUAAUAAACAAAUAAGGAACAAGAUAUAAGACACUGAAAAUUUUAUUAAUUUGAAAAAUGAGGAACCUUGUUCUUAAAAGUGAUUGACUACGAAGUAGCGAUACCAUCCGGGAACCUUUGUAUCAUGUGGACACUUUGACACAUGUCUAACAUUUGGUCAACAGGUAUCAAAAUCAAUUUUCCCGAUACUCUUUGACACGUGAGAGGGAAUUCUAACAUCUGUGUUCCAAAUUAUAAUACGCAAUUCUAACAAGCAUGUGAUCAAUUUUUUAAAUUUUUAAUAAAUGAUGGGUCAAAAUAUAAAUAUGUAAAAAAAAUUUAAAAAAAAAAAGAGGAAAAAAGAAAAACAUAAUCUCUCCUUUUUUCUCUUUUUUUCUAAGUCUCACUUCCCGUGACAUGCAAUUCAUCCUUAAUGUGUAUUUUUUCUUUUCUCUUCCAACACGCUCUGACACACAAGUCCCGGACGUGAAUUGCUAUUUUUUUCCCUCCAAUUUUAUGCAUUAUUAGAAUAUAAUUGAAUUUGUCAGAUUGAAAUAAUGAAUGAUAUUAACAAAAUAUGGAUUAACGUUAUUGGUGUAAAUUCAUUCUACACUCUUUUUUAUUAUAUAUUUAGUUUUGAAUUUAAUUAAAAUAAUCAUAAAAAUAAUAAUUUAUCAUUUAUAUCUAUUAACAUAUACAUUUAAUAUACACCGUGUUUCAAUGGGUUCGAAUUCUUUAUUUUUGGAGAAUUAAUGUGUCAGCGUGUCAGGUCGCACGUGACUUGUUAGUAUCAAUACUUUCUUGAAGAAUGAAAGUGUGUUUUCAGUAGUACUCCCAAUAGGAGAGGCAGAGUUGCCUGAUAUAGCAUGGAUUAAAAAAGACAGUGGAGAUGUUAUCGAUUUCUUAAGGUACAUGGCAACAUAGAUGGUGCAUUAAGCUUCGGAAACAGAAAUCCUCAGCAAUAUUCAAGAAGAACAGAAGGCACAUAUAUCAUGAUCUAUGCUAUAAGUGCUUCUGUUCUCAGUACUGCAAUAUCAAAUGCAUAAGAACAGAAACAUACAGUACCAAGAUUAUUUACACGGUUUGCUAUCUCCUAUAUGGCGCUCGGAUAAAUUAGUUUUCACAAGCUGUGCUAGAUACA